UUUUUUUUUUGGAGUAAAUCACUUGCAUUACUUGAAAAUCCUGGCACACAAAACAGCAGUGUAGUUGUUGCCGCAUAGUAAAAAAGAAAAAAAAAAAUGCUAAACAAGUGAUAUAAAAGGUCGGAUAUUCUCAAUGCAGUAGACAAGCAUUGUUGUACCUGGCACAUCAUGGUCGUAAGAGGAGUAUGCACCAGAUGAUUGGUUUCAUACGCUUUAAGUACGUAUGUGUGUGUACAGGAUUGCACAACCAAGAUGGUCCAGUCCCAAGCCGGAAGGAGCCAAAGCAAUAAGGAAGCAUGAUGAAGACCGUCUUCUGUAUCUUUCUUCCUUGGAGGUCAUCAAGAAAUUAUAAUCUAGGCAAAGUACGAAAAAGGAGGGAGCAUUCAGGGGGACCUUUCGAUUUCUUAAUGGUGGAGACAGGUGUUUGUGUCCUAACUAUUAAUCGUGUUGGAUAUUUUUCAAAUGUGGGAGGGAAAGCGAUGUGGUUAUUGGCUAGAUCGGACAAAUUCUCCAAGGAGCAGCUUAUCUGAUAGACAUCUUUGGACAAAACAUGUUAAAUCACUUUUCCAAUGGAUCUAAUGCAUUGAACGGCAUCAUUUUCGUUUCCACCCUGUUAGAUUAUACAACGUCACUGCCAAAGGACUCGAAUAACCAACCUCCCUCAAAAGGCAAUAGAAGAUAAAGCGCACAAGUGGACGUUGACUUAACAAGUCACAAAAGAAAAAAAAAAAAAACCACUCAGAAUUAGCGAUUUUUUCUUCUUCUUUUUUUUUUUUUUUUACUAAGGAUUCGUAUGAUCUAUUAAAUUAUUGAAUUGUUAAAUAUUAAAUCAAAUAUAUUUAAGCUCAUUUAGUAAUAAGUGAAAGCUUAUCACUUAUUUUUGGAAGCAAGUUUUAUCUAGAAAAUUUAGUGACAUUUAAUUAACACAUAUUUUCAUUUUUUGGUUAUUAAACGCUUCUGAACAUUUUAAUAUUUAAAUUUAUUAAAUUUAAGUGUUAUCAAAUAGAGCCUAAGUAGCAGGGACGAGGUGAUUUAAUGGUCAAGGACUAGAAGGGCCAUCAACGAAUAUUACAAUGUUCCUUACUGUUUAUUUGAACUCAAAUUAUGAAGAAAAAAAUUUCAUUACAUCAUAAACAUAUUUUUUUAAUUAUUUUUUUUUGUACCUUACAUGCAUUAUCUUAUAAAAGUACUAUAGCAUUAUUUUGAAAAAUGUUUCCACUAAUCUUUAAUCCAAACACUUGCGUGUGUGUUGGAUGCUUAUGCAAACUUUUACGACAUGAUAAGCAUCGAGCACAGGAGCUGUAAUUUAGAAUGCGAUAAACAUUAAAAUAUUUGAGAGUCCUGACAAUUGUGCUUGAUUCUUUUUUCAUUUGAUCUUACUACCGACUCCUGCUGUCGUUUCACACAUUCCAAUAGAAAAUACAGCAGAACUUUUGGACACCGUUAACAGCUCUCUUUAAAUUCGAAGAAACACUUUCGAAGACACCAUACAACAAUUGUAAAUUUCCGUCGUACUACAAUACACACUGCCAAAUGAUAUAAGCAAACUACUCAACAAGGACGUAAUUAAUUAGGCAUUAGAAAAAAGGAAGAAAAAAAAAGCGCUUUUACGCUAGAAGAGGUUAUGCAUGGGAUGAAUUUCUUAAUUAAUUCAUUGAAGAAAAUACCCGUUCCACAAAAUUAAAUAAAAAUUGCUCGUCAUUUGCAUUUGCUUUAGGGAUAGUUGCUGACCGAUCAACUCCAGCCAUUGGUUGACAAUCUUUUUAAUUCUUAGUGCUUGAAUUUAGCAAUCAAAACAACAUCAUCAUCACCGGACUCCACUUAUUAACUACUGUAUAUAUAGGGAGAUGAACACCUGAAAAAUGUUGAUUGUCAUCUUGAGAAUGUCUUGUUGCUGUCCCUCCCUCCCUUCCUUGAUCUCUGCCCUAAUUUUUUAUGCUGAAAGAAGUCUUCGGCACUGUAACCUAUUAUUACCGAAAACAUAAUGAUGAUGGUUUCUCAUUUUAGGGAGUGGAGUGGACUAGACAAUAAUUAGGCAGGGGACACAUAUUAUCAAUUUAUGGGCCAGACCUUCUUCAUACCCUACGCAUAAGCAGUGAGAAAUAUUAAUCUUGGGUUGAUUCCACAUUCCACCCUUUAAUUAUAUACGCAUUGCCAUCUUACUCCCUACACGUGAUAAUCAGACUCCGUUUGGAUCGGUAAUUUUUUGAAAAACAAAUCCUUAUACUAUAUAAGAUUGAGUUUUGGUGAAAAGAGGGGGUUGCAUUUCAACCGUAUAGGCAGGGACUUUUUAGGAAUGUGAAAUAUUCUGUAGUGUUUUACAAGCUAUAGGUACAAGUGAGGGAAGAUUGUGGUUAGGUAUAUUAACCGAAAUACCCUUAUUUAUAGACAUUUAAAACUUUAUGUUGUUGAAACAUAUGGGUAUUUAUGGUAUGUGCAAUUAAUCUGCAACCAUUUGUUGCUUUUAGUACAACACAUAUAAGCCUGUGGGUUUGUGAAAUUACUUAAAUAGCCUUCACACAUUAUAAGUGCGGUCAUUACGAAAAGAAAAAGUCAUGACCAUAAAUACGGCAAUUGAAUCACACGGUCAUUACUGAAAUGGCCUUCACACAUCAUAAGUGCGCCGUUUGACUAAUGAUUACUAAACUUGGAAAUCACUUGUAGAGGGAACCCACAAGUAAAAAGGAAUAAGAAAGGCCAACCUUACUCAACCGUCACCGUGGUUACAGCUCAGGUGUGGAAGCACCUCCUUUUAGAUCUCAUUCUCUAUCAUUUAUAUUUGAAUUUAAUGGCAAAAAACGUGGACCUACUAAUGGCUCCUGAGAUUCGGGGAUUGGGUUUUCUCUUGCAACCUUUGUCUGAAAUAGAAUGCCGCAUCGUUUCCCCUCUCACCCGAACUUAUGGCCGAAACACUUCAUUUCUUUCUCAUUAUAGCCUCCAUUAAAUAGCCAGACGUUGGUAAGUUAAUGCCCAACGGCUGCGUCGGUUAUGAUUGUUUCCAUACCUCCUCUUCACCUUCUUCCGUUUCAACUUUUUCAUAUUCUGGGAUUGGAAUAUUUUUUUAUACUCUUAUACUGCAUAAAUCCUAGGCAUGGAAACAAUCACCGCCCACUGAAGCAAGAAGUUGCAGAGGGUCCGACCGACAAUCUUUAUGAGGGUCAUUAACUUAAUUUGGGAUUUGAUGAGGCUUUCACUUGGUCUCUGCUUCAUUUUGGUCCCAUGAUUUUUUCAUUCUGCUACAGCUUGUCCUUAAUCACCUUCUAUUAGUAAGUUAAUGACUCACUCACUUGAAGAUCAACCGAAUGUGGACAUUAGCAGCGCGUAGUCUUUCACCACAGAACUCCUUCAGCUUACUUGCUUCCUUAAGCCAAAAACACCAAAAAUAGCUACUCCGACAAGAAAAAGCACCAACAUCCUUGCGUUGCCUCCACUUUCAACUUCAGCAGUCAGAGUAGUUGAAGCAGGAAGUUGCGGAGGGCUCUCGAUCAUGUAUGCUCUACAUUCAUCAUGUAGAUGCUGAAGUUAGGACCAAAAUGAAGAAACCACCAAGAAGCAACACAUUUGACUGCUGUCUAUUACAGCAUCUACAUGAGUUUGCUACUAUUCGUAUCACUAAAUAAGUAGACAUAUAUGAUAUCUUAUUUAACAUACUCUGCUAUCUAUCUCGUAAUUUUUUUUUGAAACAAUUUCAUAAAUAUUUGUUUGUACACCUUUGGGAACUUGCUGCAUCUAAUUAUUUGUGUUCGGGAACUUCCUGAUUCUAAUAUUAAAAAACUCUUAUGUUGUUUGUCUUAUAAUCAUACCUGCUUUUAAUUAUUUAUCGCAACGUACUAUUCUUGCAAUAUAUUAUUAUUUGUCCAACCAAAAAAUAUUCUUCAACCACAGGCAUCAAACACCCGCGCGAUGCACGGGCACUCAUCCUCUAGUUUAACAUAUACAAUGUUUUAAUAAUAUAUAAAUAAAAAUAAUUUUAAAAAUACAAAAAAAAUUAAUCUCAUUUACGGCAAAAGAUUUUCACCUAUACUGUUACAAUAAAGUAUUUCAAAAACAUCCCUAAAAAUAGCUAAUUCAAACGGAACCUAAUUUUUAAGCUGUAAAAUUUGUCCCACUCAAGUGAAAUUGUUGGUGGAAGUGGAAUGAUUUUAUCCUUGAAUGAAUGGGACAAAAAUGAGAUGCCAUUUUAGGGGGACCAGAGUUGGAUGACUUUCAUGCUUUAGGAGCUCGAGUACGAUAGGUUUUAUACUUCAAGAACUCAAGUAUCUCAUUCUAUGGCUUCAAACUAAUGUGAAAGUUUGAAUACAUUUGAAAACUAAAGUAUCUCAUUUUAUAGAUUUGAAACUAAUGUGAAAGUUUGAAGGGUGUAAAACGAAACUAUCCCUAAACGAUCCAAAAUUCUAUUCCUCUUCUUUGUGAGGGAAUAUAUAGGAGAAUAUUUUUUUCUUUUCGUCCGGUAUUAUAGCAACGCAGCAAUAAGCUGCAGGUAAAGAUACGUCUGAGCACAGCAACAUGAUGUGAACUCGAUCUUUAUUUACAUGCAAAUGUAACGUAUCCAUCCUCUCUGAAAGAAAAAUAGCAGUUCAGAAAUCCUGACAUUACAAGACCGGAAAAAGUAAAAGCCGUGCUUGGUUGGAGUUGGAACUCAGAACUGAAAAGGGCAACAUUCAGUGCAUGUGACAGUAUGAUGAAAAUUUCUGAUUCUGAGCGAUACGCGUUGUUUGUCAUAUGGUCCAAGACAUUAAUUUCACCACUAACAGGUACCUCGCGUUCUUUUGGGCCUUCUCAGCCCGUUAAUGGUACACAAGCCUAAAGUCAAAGCCUACUGACUCUGAUCUGCGAACAGCCGAAAUCUUAAAUAAUAUGUUCUUGCAAACAAAAAUUGUGAAAACCGUGCAGCAUCCUUAGUUGGACGUCGGGCGCCUUCCAGCGGGAAAAAAAAGUAGUUAAAUUCACACUUCUCCGUUCUCACCAAUUCGCACCAUAAAUUUUAAGGUUCAUACAAAUUAGUGAUUUAGGAUUAAAAGAAUGUGGAUUUAGACUCUUUAAACGCCAUUCAUCAAAAAAGAAAGUAACAAACACCCUGAGCAUGCAGACCCUUGACAUUGACCGCCAAAACCAAAUGAGAAAAACCUGACGAAGAUCCGAGCCCGACAGCCCGAGAGAAUUUGCAAAAUUGGGCAAGAGUCUGGAAUCAGGUUGACAUUACCAUUAGGGCCAGAAAGAGUUAUUAAAUUCGUUAGUUGUGUGGUGCGCUGCAGCAAGCCAAUAAGCAAAACGGAUAAAUUUAAUUAAAAUUAAUUCUUGAACUCUCCAGAGGAAACUCAUAAUGCGAUUUCACUAGCUGUGUACCGUACUAAAGCAUGCCAAUAGUAACAGCUCAAAAGAAAACGAUAACAGACUUUCCAGCAGGCAUUCAUCCUCUCAUUUCUUUCUGGGUUCAGUGAAAGUCUGCCGUUCAUAGAUCAGGCCCAACUCGCCUCCUCGCAUUGCUUCCCACAAUUAGGGCUAAAGUGGCUGCGCUUAGGUCCAUAAUGCACUACAAUUAGUAAACCACAAUCGAUGAAAAUUUUGAAGCCCUUUCCGCCCCCCAAAAAAAAAAAAAAAUCCUUAUUUAAUUUUUUUUUUCCAGAGACGAUAACUGUUGUAUUAUCCAAUCUCUCCUAAUACAACAAUCUCUCCUACACUAGGGUAGGGGACGAACCUAAAGAGACCCAGAGAUAAUCCGGAAGGAACUGAACCACCACCGGACCAAAUGAAUGCACUAUACACCAACCUAAAUUUUUUUAAGCAAAGCCACUUUGAACCCUUGCCUCCCGCCCCCCACCAAGCUUUAAUGCUUUGGCGGCAGCCACUGUUCCAAAGGCUGGUGGUUUCCUUAUUUAAUUAGAAACUGCGUUUUGCAGUUGCAGGAAGAAGAUCAUCAGGAGGACAACUUCCUUUUAAAUUUAAAUAAAAAAUAAACACGAGAGGACAACUUCCAUAACCUCCAACCGACCAAACCAAACCAACCAACAUGACGGUAGCAGAGGUUCUUAAGAAACCAUAACCUCCAACCAACGAAUAUGACAUCAUCCAGCCACCAGUAAUGCGCACUUAACAACCUAGCCCUCUGCACUUUUUUUUUUCCCAGCAACGACACAUUUUGUAUAACCUACUCUAUCCUAAUCUAAAGGGAGAAGGAGCCUAGGGAGGCUUGUGUUAGGUGUUAGUAGAUAUCCAGACCCAACUAGCCCAAAAGAGUACUAUGACACUACGUUUAGAUUUUUUUUGCUACAGGUAAUAUUUGAACUCUCACCUACAGCAGCCCAAGGAAUGACUUAAGUCCCUCUCUAGCGACCACUGAGCGGUUCCAUCCCCCUGUACUUGACAACCAAAAUUUGUGACAUCUCAGAUUAUAAAGAAUGAUUACACGAGAAAAAGCAAGCAUGAGGUAAGCACAACAUGCGCAAGCAAUGUACACUUUAUGUUGUGGCAUUUUGAAGAGAUUCAACCUAGUAUCUGAACACAUACAAGGGAUGGCCAAUCUAGAAUGAUAAAACCAUUGGUCGGUGGAGGCAGACGCUUUAUGUUGUGGCACAAGCUGACAAGUUAAAGGAUGUAAAGAGAGAACAUAAAAGAUUAGUCGCGUAUAACUCAGAAAACUACUUUUUAAGACUUCAAUCUCUUAAAAUCUCUAGAUAACAAAUAUAACAGACUAUAACUCCCACCACCAAUCCGAUGUCUCAAGCUCCAUGUUGCAUGGAGCUUAAAAAAUCUAAGUUUGAAUCUAAGCUCAAUGUUGCAUGCCUUUGAUUCGGCUGUUAACUUUAUGUGAUUCAUUACUACAAAGGUACCUUCUUAGAAGAAGCAUAAGAGAGUAUAAUGGAAAAUAGUUAUUCAUUUCUUUCACUUUUCAAAUCAUUAGACACAUUCUGGUACAAGUGACAACAAAUUUAUGUUAAACAAGAUGGAACAGCUAUUACCUAAAAUUCAAAUAUAAAUGCAAGAGGAUAAAGGAAAAAAGGGCACAUUAUCAGUAUGUGUGCCAUCUAUACAAGAAAUUAGGUGUUAUCUCAUAAGAGUAGUUUGUAGGAACUACCUCCUUUUUCUUCCAUAACUAUAAACCCUGAGCAACCAUGUUCCUUAUAUUGAAAUGUCAAAUUUCUUACAUAGUUAUAGUUCAAACCAAGCAUUGACACCGUAGAUGCUAUCCACAUGUUACAACAAACUUGAUGGUGUAGGGGCAGAGGGAAUCUUUAAUCCCCAACUAAAUGGUGCCCUUUGUGGACAUAAACCUCAAAAUAUACACCAUGUAACAGCAAUAUCUCAAUUCUCAGGAACCAUAAUUCUGGACUGUUGGAAUCUAAAUAAAAAGCACCUGAACAAAUCAAAUAACCAAACCCAAAAGAAGGCACACGAAACACAUUCAAGUAGCAUAUGCUAAGGAUGACAAUCGUGUUAAUAGUAACAUGGCAACUUCGUUCAUCAGCAGAAGCAAUCAGCAAAAGAGGGUGGCAUCUUGCACGGCUUUUGCACAUGUUGGUGUAUAUUUUGAUGUUAAACUAUAUAACCACAUAACCCUGAUAGGUAACAGAACAGAACAUACACACUAGCUAAUUAUUCCUUCAACCAAUGUUGGUAUAUAUUUCGAAGUUAACUAUAUAACCAUAUAACCCUGAUAGGUAACAGAACAGAACAUAACCAACAGUUGAUUAUCCCUUCAGCCAAAGUUUAUAUAUACGAAAAGAGUUUCCAGUCCACUGGACUCGCACAAUCAGAUCAUCAUUCACACCAUAAGCUGAAUAAGAUAAACAAACUUUAUAUACACAUCCAUUGUGACCAUAUACUUCCAAAUCAGCCAUUGAACAUUACCUCAAAAGCAAGGAUCUUUAAAGUAAUUUCAAUUAAAUUAACAUCAGUAGUCAACACGAUAAUCGCUGUAAUCUUCCCUGGCUGCCAAGUCACUCUCCACCCUGUCUGCAAUCUUAUCUUCUUCAUACUUCAAUCCUUCCUCCAAUGCCAACCCCCCAAGGGCUCCCCCCACAGCCCCCACUGCCAAUCCUGCACCUAGGCCCAACUUUGCUCCGCGCUUCUGGUGGUCAUACGGAGCAUAAUCCACAGGCGCGCUCGGCCCUGGCCCACCAUAGCUCGAUUGCCGGUCGAAUAACGGCCGGGGAAGAGGAGGAGGCGGUGGCUGCUGCGAGUAGUAACCUGGAUAGUAGCUUGAGUAGGGGUCCGAGUAUCCGCUGUACUGGUACGGGUGUGGUGGUGGAGGAGGAGGAGGAGGGGAUGGAGCAGCAGGUGGCGGCGCAGGGUGGAUAGUGUAAGGAGAGGUCGAGUAUCCUCUGUAGUCGCGAGCGGCGGAGUGAGGGAGAGGAGGAGGAGGGGCAGAGGAGUAGUAAUAGGUGGAGGGAGGGGUAACUUGGUAAUCUUGCACGGGGCGUUCACGAAGGGCGAGCUUGAGGCGGAUCUUACCGUGGGGACGACCAGAGGGCCGUCGGAGGUCGAAAGUUCUCAGUUUGGAGGAAUCAUCCGAGUCGACCAGGUCCUUGAGUUGGAACCGGAGUGUACCAACCAGGGGCUUAGGUGUCUCUGAGGGUU
rnacentral:lncRNA from 1 species